CCAGCUCACACGGGGUGCCGAAAGGCUGAGAGGCGAGAAGCCAACCCGUCGAACCUGAUCCGGAUCAUGCCGGCGGAGGGAUUGCGGGCGCGGCCGGAU
rnacentral:ncRNA from 2 species